rnacentral:rRNA from 1 species
CAGCCGCCGCGGUAAUACGGAGGGAGCUAGCGUUGUUCGGAAUUACUGGGCGUAAAGCGCGCGUAGGCGGUUACUCAAGUCAGAGGUGAAAGCCCGGGGCUCAACCCCGGAACUGCCUUUGAAACUAGGUGACUAGAAUCUUGGAGAGGUCAGUGGAAUUCCGAGUGUAGAGGUGAAAUUCGUAGAUAUUCGGAAGAACACCAGUGGCGAAGGCGGCUCACUGGCUCAUACUGGACGCUGAGGUGCGAAAGCGUGGGGAGCAAACAGGAUUAGAUACCCCAGUAGUCCCUGUCUCUUAUAA